rnacentral:lncRNA from 1 species
GGACGGAAAGUUCCAUCGCCUUCCUCUGAAGGAUAAUUUUAUCAAGGCUAAGCUGAGAAAAACUCUGGAAACAUUCACACACUGAUAGAAGAAAGCAUAAAUUUAUUAUCAGCAGGGAAAAAGAAAAUUAUUAUCAUCCAUCAGAGUGGCAAAAGAGACAAGAAAAGAGUCUUAAUGCAGCCACCCUGUGGGUCUUAGCCCUGUCUUCUCUCACUAUGUACUGGAAUCACAAAUGCCUGUUUUUAAAAUACAAGCAGAUUCAUUGGAGUCGUCAGGAUAAUAGUCUCCAUCUUCAGUGGCCCAGAACUACCAGCAACUGGAGACAAGAGCACAAAUAGGAUAACAGAGCUAAUGAGUGUCGACGUCAACAGCGAUAAGUUUGGAAUAGCCAAAGUCCACUGACAACUAAAGCAAACAGAUAUUCUCAUUUCAAAAAGUCUGGACCAGCCUAAAAUAAGACACCGAGAUCCCAUAGAAAUUUGUCUUCUAGAAACUUGAAGGAAAAAAGAAAUCAAGCAAAUUGAAUGUAUCCAUGAAAAGAAUUUCUAAAUUGUGGAACUGAAAAGUAGCAUCAGCAUUUUAUUGGGGAG